CAACUUUCAACACAACGGAUCUCUUGGCUCUC
rnacentral:rRNA from 1 species